rnacentral:rRNA from 1 species
GGGCUUGACAUCCCACGAACCUGGGCUUGAACUGCAGAUGAUCGACGGUGAAAGCCGUUUCCCGCAAGGGCAUCUGUAGAGGUGCUGCAUGGCUGUCGUCAGCUCGUGUCGUGAGAUGUUGGGUUAAGUCCCGCAACGAGCGCAACCCUUGUCUGCUGUUGCCAUCAGGUUAUGCUGGGCACUCUGCGGAGACUGCCGGUGACAAACCGGAGGAAGGUGGGGAUGACGUCAAGUCCGCAUGGCCUUUAUGUCCAGGGCCACACACGUGCUACAAUGGGCGGUACAAACCGUUGCGAUCCCGCGAGGGGGAGCUAAUCGGAGAAAGCCGCUCUCAGUUCGGAUUGCAGGCUGCAACUCGCCUGCAUGAAGUUGCAAUCGCUAGUAAUCGCGGAUCAGCACGCCGCGGUGAAUACGUUCCCGGGCCUUGUACACACCGCCCGUCACAUCACGAAAGCUGGCUGUACUCGAAGUCGCUGAG